AACCCAUGAAUAGGACAUUUCCGCAACAAAACCUUCAAUCUUUCCCAUGCUUUAUACAAGCUUUCAUAUACCAUUUGCUUGAAUGAAGUUAAACCAUUUCGAAGUUU